CGCUAGAUUUUUUGAAAGUCCCAAGAGAAGUGGUGGUCUUCCCUUCUGUCAUCCCAGUAUAUAUAGUUAUACAUGUAAAUAUCUAAAUACCCCAGGGUGUGCUGGUGGCUCAGCUUUGGGGUUGGACUCCCACGUUCACCUCCCCCUCCUGGUCCAGGCAGAGGCACCAGAACCCAUCCUGCCUUUUCUCCAGUGUGAGCAUUUCAGGGAGCCACCAUCAGCCUUGGGUUCAUGAGAGGAAGAAACCCCCAAAGACCAAUGCCUGGAGCCCACUUCUCCAGCGACACCUUCCCUCGCCAGAGCAGGCUCCUAGGAGUGCAUGGCAGGGGUGCCGGGUCCCUGUGCACGGGUUUGCUUUCUGAACAUUGCCCAUCAACACCGCCUUCAGGGAGUCCCAG
rnacentral:lncRNA from 1 species